AUUUAUUGAACGCUUCUUGGUCUUAACCAUAUAACAAUGGGCAGAACAGCCGCAGCAGUCUCAGGCGGAAGGCAGCUCCACGUGGCUCCUUUUGGCUUCAGUGAUGCUGACAAAGAUGAAGACAGAGCCUGAACUUUGUGGUCAUCAAGGGAGCAAGAAGGGAGCGGAGGGACGACCUGAGCCUGCCUAGUCUCUCACAGCCCAGACGGCA
rnacentral:lncRNA from 1 species